CUGUUGACAGAUGCUGACACUAGGCCUAAAAACUUUUCCUAGAUCGGAAGAGCGUCGUGUAGGGAAAGAGUGUAGAUCUCGGUGGUCGCCGUAUCAUUAAAAAAAA